rnacentral:rRNA from 1 species
GGCAGGCCUAACACAUGCAAUUCGAGGGGUUAGAAGAGCUUGCUCUUCCUAGACCGGCGUACGGGGUGCGUAACGCGUGUACAAUCUACCUUUUACAGAGGGAUAACCUGAAGAAAUUUGGACUAAUACCUCAUAGAAUUACUUUAUGGCAUCAUAGGGUAAUUAAAGCUACGGCGGUAAAAGAUGAGUACGCGUUCUAUUAGCUAGUUGGAGUGGUAACGGCACCCCAAGGCUACGAUAGAUAGGGGUCCUGAGAGGGAGAUCCCCCACACUGGUACUGAGACAGGGACCAGACUCCUACGGGAGGCAGCAGUGAGGAAUAUUGGUCAAUGGUCGGAAGACUGAACCAGCCAUGCCGCGUGCAGGAAGACGGCCUUAUGGGUUGUAAACUGCUUUUGCAAGGGAAGAAUAAGCUCUACGAGUAGAGUGAUGACGGUACUUUGCGAAUAAGCAUCGGCUAACUCCGUGCCAGCAGCCGCGGUAAUACGGAGGAUGCGAGCGUUAUCCGGAAUCAUUGGGUUUAAAGGGUCUGUAGGCGGGUUGUUAAGUCAGGGGUGAAAGUUUGCGGCUUAACCGUAAAAUUGCCUUUGAUACUGGCUAUCUUGAAUUAUUGUGAAGUUGUUAGAAUGUGUAGUGUAGCGGUGAAAUGCAUAGAUAUUACACAGAAUACCGAUUGCGAAGGCAGAUGACUAACAAUAGAUUGACGCUGAGAGACGAAAGCGUGGGGAGCGAACAGGAUUAGAUACCCUGGUAGUCCACGCUGUAAACGAUGAAGACUAGCUGUUUGGCAUUAUAGUUGAGUGGCUAAGCGAAAGUGAUAA